rnacentral:misc_RNA from 1 species
GAUGAAGAACGCAGCGAAAUGCGAUAAGUAAUGCGAAUUGCAGAAUUCAGUGAGUCAUCGAAUCUUUGAACGCACAUUGCGCCCUGUGGUAUUCCGCAGGGCAUGCCUGUUCGAGCGUCAUUUCAACCCUCAAGCUCUGCUUGGUGUUGGGCCCUGCCCGCUGCGGCCGGCCCUAAAGACAGUGGCGGUGCCGCCUGGCCCUGAGCGUAGUACAUCUCUCGCUCCAGUGCCCGGUGGUAGCCUGCCAGAAACCCAACUCUCGUGGUUGACCUCGGAUCAGGUAGGGAUACCCGCUGAACUUAAGCAUAUCAAUAAGCGGAGGA